UGAAGAAUUUGUCCAACGGCGGGGGAUAGCCGGCCCAACGGCCGGGUAAUACCGCGUACGACCCUCGGGGGGCAUCGCCUGAAGGUGAAAGCCGCAAGGCGCCGAUGGAGAACUUCGCGGCCUAUCAGCUAGUUGGUGAGGUCAUGGCUCACCAAGGCGACGACGGGUAGCUGGUCCGAGAGAAUGACCAGCCACAUUGGGACUGAGACACGGCCCAGACCUCCGUACGGGAGCAG
rnacentral:rRNA from 1 species